GAUGAACGCUGGCGGCGUGCUUAACACAUGCAAGUCGAACGAAGCACUUCAUAAAGUUUACUUUAAGAAGUGACUUAGUGGCGGACGGGUGAGUAACGCGUGGGUAACCUGCCUUACACAGGGGGAUAACAGUUAGAAAUGACUGCUAAUACCGCAUAAAACAGCAGAGUCGCAUGACUCAACUGUCAAAGAUUUAUCGGUGUAAGAUGGACCCGCGUCUGAUUAGCUGGUUGGUGGGGUAACGGCCUACCAAGGCGACGAUCAGUAGCCGGCCUGAGAGGGUGAACGGCCACAUUGGGACUGAGACACGGCCCAAACUCCUACGGGAGGCAGCAGUGGGGAAUAUUGGACAAUGGGCGAAAGCCUGAUCCAGCGACGCCGCGUGAGCGAUGAAGUAUUUCGGUAUGUAAAGCUCUAUCAGCAGGGAAGAAAACGACGGU
rnacentral:rRNA from 1 species